rnacentral:rRNA from 1 species
UGGAGAGUUUGAUCCUGGCUCAGGACGAACGCUGGCGGCGUGCUUAACACAUGCAAGUCGAGCGGUAAGGCCCUUCGGGGUACACGAGCGGCGAACGGGUGAGUAACACGUGGGUGAUCUGCCUCGCACUUCGGGAUAAGCCUGGGAAACUGGGUCUAAUACCGGAUAUGACCUGCUGUCGCAUGGCGGUGGGUGGAAAGAUUUAUCGGUGCGAGAUGGGCCCGCGGCCUAUCAGCUUGUUGGUGGGGUAAUGGCCUACCAAGGCGACGACGGGUAGCCGGCCUGAGAGGGCGACCGGCCACACUGGGACUGAGACACGGCCCAGACUCCUACGGGAGGCAGCAGUGGGGAAUAUUGCACAAUGGGCGAAAGCCUGAUGCAGCGACGCCGCGUGAGGGAUGACGGCCUUCGGGUUGUAAACCUCUUUCGACAGGGACGAAGCGCAAGUGACGGUACCUGUAGAAGAAGCACCGGCCAACUACGUGCCAGCAGCCGCGGUA